rnacentral:misc_RNA from 1 species
GCCGUCAAGUCACGAAAGUUGGUAACACCCGAAGCCGGUGGCCUAACCCCCUUGUGGGGAGGGAGCUGUCGAAGGUGGGACCGGCGAUUGGGACUAAGUCGUAACAAGGUAGCCGUACCGGAAGGUGCGGCUGGAUCACCUCCUUUCUAAGGAGCGUCUGGCUUUCCGGUGGGUGCCGCUUGGUGCCUGGUUGGGGGGUUCAGAGUUAAGCCCAUUGCCCGGGCGUUCGUUCCGGGGUGGGUGCUCAUGGGUGGAACAUCAGAAGAAUGGAUUUGUUGGCGGAUCGUGGCCUGUGGCGUGAGUACGGCCGCAUCGUGUGUGCACCCUUUUUGGGGGUGUGUGUGUGGUGUGGUGGGGAAAGUGUGGGGUUGCGGGUUGCUGGCGGGUUGUUUGGCACACUGUUGGGUCCUGAAGCAACAGGCCGUUUGUGGUCUGUGUUUCUGAGUUCCCCUGGCUUGUCUGUCCUGUCACCGGUUUGGUGGUGGGGUGGGGGGUUGUGG